GCUGGGCAUGGUGGCGCGUGCCUGUAAUCCAAGCUACUCAGGAGGCUGAGGCAGGAGAAUCACUUGAGCCUAGGUGGCGGAGGUUGCAGUGAGCCAAGAUCAUGCCACUGCACUCCAGCCUGGGCGACAGAGUAAGACUCUGUCUUAA
rnacentral:SRP_RNA from 1 species